rnacentral:ribozyme from 1 species
AACCGAGAAUUCGAGGCCAUAGAAGAAGCACAAAUGCUGUGGCCCUGUCAGAUUCCAACAAAUCUGCAAAUUCUGGU